rnacentral:rRNA from 1 species
UAAGGUUUAUUGUGUAAAUUUUAAUAUUGUAUAUUGUUUAAAGAAAAUUUUAUAGAUUAUAAAAAAUGGAAAAAAAAAGUAGAAAAUUUAAUUGUUUUAUUGUUUUAAAAAUAAAAAUUAUUAAUUUUGGUGUUGAAAAGUCGUUUUUUUUUAUAUCUGUGUUUUUUUUUUUGUGUAUUAGAAAGUUAUGUUUUUUUGGUUGAGUUGUAGAAUAGAUAAAAUUUGAAGUGCUUUUGAUUUUAGUUUUAUAACUGUUUUUGUUUUUUUUUUUUGAGUUUGUGGUUUUUUAAUAAAGUUUUAUUAAAUAAUUAAUUUUAAAAUUAGUAGUUUUUUUUUAAGUUAAAUGAUUUGGUUUGAAUAUGAAAUGAUAAAUAGAAUUUUAAUCAAAUGUUUUUUAAAGACUUAGACUUUUGAAUAAAGUUGGCUUCUGCCCUGUGAUUUUUAUUUAACGGCAGUCUUAGCGUGAGGACAUUAAGGUAGCAAAAUAAUUUGUGCUUUUAUUGGGUUCUAGUAUGAAUGGAGUUAUUGGUUAAUUUUUUUCAUUUCUUUUUUAUGAAUUUAAAUAGGUAUAAAAAUUUGCUUGUGUAAUUAUACAAAGAUAAGUCUUUGGAAAUUCUUUUUGGUGUUGUAUGGGAUACCAUAUUCACUAAAAAUUUUCUAGGGUAGAAUACUAUAUAGUAAAGUAGACUAUGUAUAAGAUUAUAGAAUUACUCCAGAGUUAACAGAAAAUCAUACUUAAUCUAGAGGUUAUAGUAUAGUAAGUUUUACAUCGAUGUUGUAUUUAAGUAUAUUAAGGAGGAGAAGAUUUAAUUAUUGAGACUGUUCUUCUUUUAAUUAACUUAACGUGAUAUUAGUUUAAUUCAUCGUAAGAUAGAAUUGUUUAUCUUGAUAAUUAUUGGUGUUUAGUAUUUUUAGUACGAAAGGAAAAUUAUAAAAAGUUAGAAACUUUAUGAGGGGGUUCCGUCA